UUUUGCCAAUGUCUUUUUUUUUUUUUUUUUUGUCGCAUUCACGUUAAUGACUCGAGUAAUAAAUUUGUAUUUGCAGGAGAAAAAGAGAGCAAGUGCACCCCAGUGCAUAGGGCUCUGGGUGUAAAUGGACUUCCCCACUAUAUAGCCGAAGAUCAGUUGUCUCUCCAAUCAUCUAUGCAUUCACUAUAGUUUGAUUUAUAGCACUCAGCCUAUGGCUCAAAACAAGUUUCAUUCACUAUUUUGAUUUAUAAAAACCAAGUUUUUGGUUUCAGAAAUUUUAUUGAUAGUUUUUCUCCAAUUGUGCAGGAACUUAACUUAGGUAAUAAGAAGGUAAGAUUUAUGUAUCAGAUUCCCUUCUCAGAAACGAAGUUAUUUUGUUUAUAUACCAGUUUCUUGAUUUAUAGUACGGUAGUAUUCCACGCCCCUCCUAAAAAAAAAGUACAGAAAAUAUAUGUGUGCCACUGAACUUGGAUGUUUAUUUGCAUAUAAAAGCACUACCGCAUGAACUUUGAUGUGGAGGACCCUUGCUUACAGCAAAGAAUGUAUAACUGCAAAUAAGUUUUGCAAAUGUCUUCCUUUUUUUUUAGUUGCAUUUACGUUAAUGACUUGAAUAAUAAAUCUGUAUUUAUUGGAGAAAGAGAAAAAGAGAGCAAGAGCAACCCAGUGCAUAAGGCUCUGGGUGUAAACGGACUCCCCCACCCUAUAACCGAAGAUCAAUUAUCUCUCGGAUCAUCUAAGCAUUCAUUAUAGUUUGAUUUCUAGCACUCAGCCUAUGGCUCAAGAUCAGUUUUAUUCACUAUUUUGAUUUACAAUAACCAAGUUCCUGGUUUCAGAAAUUUUAUCGAUAGUUUUUCUCCAAUUGUGCAGGUACUUAACAUGGGUAACAAGAAGUUAAGAUUUAUGUAACAGAUUUCUUUCCCAGAAACAAAUUUUUUUUGUUUAUACUAGUUCUCCAAUAUGUAGUAUUAUAAUUAUUCCACACCCUCUCCCGCCCCCAAAAAAAAGUACAUGAAAUAUAUAUGUGCCACUAAACUUGGAUGUUUGUUUGCAUGUAAAAGCACUACUACAUGAACUUCGAUGUGGAGGACCCUUGCUUACAGCAAAGAAUGCAGAACUACAGAUAAGUUUUUCCAAUGUCUUCUUCUUUUUCUUUUUUCUUUUUUCCUUUUUUUUUUUUAGUCUUAUUCACGUUAAUGACUUAAGUAAUAAAUCCGUAUUUGCAGGAGAAAGAGAAAAGGAGAGCAAGAGCAACCCAGAGGCUUUGGGUUUAAAUGGACUCCCCCACCCUGUAGCCGAAGAUCAGUUAUCUCUCAAAUCGUCUAAGCAUUCACUAUAGUUUGAUUUCUAGCACUCAGCCUAUGGCUCAAGAUUAGUUUCAUUCACUAUUUUUAUUUACAAGAACCAAGUUCUUGGUUUCAGAAAUUUUAUUGAUAUUUUUUCUCCAAUUGUGCAGGUACUUAACUUGGGUAACAAGAAGUUAAAAUUUAUGUAACAGAUUUCUUUCCCAGAAACAAAGUUAUUUUGCUUAUACUAGUUCUCCAAUUGUAGUACGGAGAAAGAGAGCAAGUGCAACCCAGUGCACAAGGCUCUGGGUGUAUAUGGAUUCCCCCACCAUAUAGCCAAAGAUCAAUUGUCUCUCGAAUCCUCUAAGCAUUCACUAUUGUUUGAUUUCUAGCACUCAGCCUAUUGCUCAAGAUAAGUUUCAUUCACUAUUUUGAUUUACGAUAACCAAGUUCUUGGUUUCAGAAAUUUUGUUGAUAGUUUUUCUCCAAUUGUGCAGGAAUUUAACUUGUGUAACAAGGAGGUAAGAAAUAUGUAUCAGAUUUCUUUCCCAGAAAUGAAGUUAUUAUGUUUAUACCAGUUUCUUAAUAUGUAGUACGGUAAUUAUUCCACGUCCCCUCCCCCAUACUAAAAAAAAAAAGGAAAAAGUGCAGGAAAUAUAUGUGCCACUGAACUUGGAUGUUUGUUUGCAUGUAAAAGUACUACUGCAUGAACUUCGAUGUGGGGGACCCUGCUUACAAGAAAGAAUGUUGAACUGCAGAUAAGUUUUGCCAAUGUCUUCUAAUUUUUUUUUUAAUCACAUUCACGUUAAUGACUUAAGCAAUGAAUCUAUAUCCACAGGAGAAAGAGAAAAGGAGAGCAAGAGCAACCCAGUGCACAAGGUUCUCGCUACUGCAGGGUCUGGGAGGGGCAAUUUUAUAUAUAUAUAUAUAUAUAUAUAUAUUUUUUUUUUGGCAAGCGUCAAGGUGUACUAGUAAGUAGCAAGUCUAGCUAAUGAUUUAUAUGCUGCACAUUUUCAGAACUGAUCUAUCUCCUUCCUUUUUUAUCAUGCGCAUCUUGUUUUAUGAUAUUACUCUAGGAGGGAACAACUUAGUGUGGACAAGUGUUAGGACACUCCUUGCAGUCUAAUCUGAACAAUAGGACUUCUAGUCCAAAGAAUAGGCACCAAUCAAGAAAUCAAUGUAAUGCUUGAACUGGGCCUUAUUUUCCUUGCUUCUGAUAUGUGCAUCUAAUACUUUUUUUGUAGCUUAUUAUAAUUUAAAGCUCUGAUCCAUGUCUUGCUGCAAUUUGGAUUUGCUGCUGCUGUGGCCCAAUAAGGACCAUCACAGAAGGAGAAGAAUGCUUAUAACAGAAGGUUUGUUUUUUGGUAAUUUGCUAUUAGGAUAAUCCAUAUCUUAGAACAACUGUCAGAUUUGAGAGUUCGCCAGGCCGAGUCAAUGUCUUUUUUUUUUUUUUUUUUUUUUUUAGAGAGAGAGAGAGAGAGAGAGAGUUGCUACCAUUGGCUGGUGGACAUCAUGGGCUACCUGAGAUAGUAUCUGCAGCCAAUGCAUACCCUGAGCUAAAUUGGCCAAAUGGAUAGAAUAUGGCAAAAACAUGUUGGCUGGAUAUUCACUUUUUAGUGUUCGUUAGUUAUCACUUGUUUUUUACUGUCAACUAUAUUCUACGUUCUGAAAGCUUGUAGAAUAUCUGUUGCAUGUGUAAGUUUUGAAGGGUGAGAAUUACACCGUCUUAACCUGAAAAUGUCAGGAUACGAUUUCGGCAUUCUGAAAACUUGUAACAUCUUGACAUAAUGUUUAGAAACCAUGGAUCCUCUGAA